GGAGCGCAGAUUGCCGUUUCGGGGCCAUGGCACAAGGGAAGAGGCCAGGAGCCAGAGGCCGGCGGCCCGACGCUCACAGCAGGAAGGAACUCGCAGGAACUGAGGCGGCCUCAGUUUGGUCUCCGGCAGACUUAGCUACGUGCUGUUGCCUCACCUCAGCCUGGAACAUUCUUCGCUCUUCCCAACCCCCCUACUCCUGCGUCUGGCUAGACUCCUUCCCAGCCUGCAGAUCGCCGCUUGCAGGGACAGAUGAGUGUUGGAAGAAAAGGGAUUCCAAGGCGAGAAUUACAAAAAUCGCGGCGGGGGAGGGAAGGGAAGACUUGGCGCAUCCAUUCCCUCUACCCCAAAGGGCUUGAGUCAGAGAAGUAAAAUGCGCUGGCUCAGCCUGUA